rnacentral:lncRNA from 1 species
UGGCUCGGGUGAUGGACCGCCACAUCAGAGAAGCUAGUGCUUGGAAUGAUGAGAUUGUUGGUUCUCCGGCUUUUCUGUUCUCGUCGUUGGCUCUUUCUCUGAGAUGAGCGAUGGAUUCGAACGGGAAAAGGAAGAAUACUUCUUUCAGGUUAGGUGCUUUGGGUCUCAGGAUAUAUUCUUCCGGUUCAUUGUAAGGUAGUUUGAUCGGAAUCGAUGUGCCGUCGACGAACCAACGAUCGAGAACCGGUGGGCGUGAAAUGGGAUCAACACCACGGUUUAUUUCAGCCCAUGCUGUGACGAAGUUCCAGAAGGCUGUACCAUCGCCGACGACAUGGUUUAAGGAGAUCCCGAGGAAGAAGCCGUCGACAAGCUCCGUGAGUUGAAUCGCGAGGAGAGGAUCAUUAUGAGCAUCGUAGCAAAUAGCCAAAUCCAAGCAAAACAAGUCCUUAACGAAGGAGGGAGUGUAAAAAGGUUCGACGACGUCUGCAACCGAUAUUCCGUCGGCAACUGAACGAACGAAGUCCGCUCCUCCGGCACUACAAUCGAUGUAAGUGAAUAAACCCUUGGUUCCAUCUCGGGGUUUCUCCGUCACAAGACGACCGGCCAGUGGGUAGAAAUGGAGGAGAGCUUGAGCCAAAGAGUUCUGGAGAUGGUCGAUGACGUCGUCGAGACGACACGAUACAUCCGACAUGGAGAAGAGAUGUCCUUUCUGAAUGUACUGAGCCGAGAGCAUAGAGAGAUCCCAUGAUGCAAGAUCGAUCCGUGGUGGAUGACCUGACGGCGGACUCACCGAACAAGUCGAAAUUCUUCGAACCGGCGAUGGCAUUCGAUAAACAGAUAAUAAUCAGGUCGGUCAUAGCCCAUCGGUGGUAUAAAUAGGCAGUCAGAUUUGGUUGGUAUGACAUUAACGGAUCCACAAUUUAAAUCCACAUGGAGACGGGUGGAUUUGGGAAAUAUAGACUUGAGUUGGUUGUGGGCCCAUGUGGGGUUGAAUAUUUGAGAUUUAUUUAUUUAUUUAUUUACUUGGGUUUGAUUUAUAUUUGAAAUUGUAUUAUUCAAAUUUCAAAGAUAUACAGCUAUUAUUUUAUAUCAAUUUUUAACUAAAGUAGUAAAGUCUAAAUAAAAAUAAAAAGAUUGUAGCAUUAUAAAUUAAUAAAGCCAGCCCCCAUGACGUGGAUGAUUCGUCGCUCAAAAUAUUAUAUAUUGUCGACGGCUGACUUGAAAGCUGAAUUUUCAACGUCGUUCAAUUUCUUGUUCAUCAGCCUCCAGAUAAGACUGAUGUGUGAGACUUGAAAAAAACAGGUUUGAUGAAAAUUUUAAAUUUAACAGAUUGAUAACUUUCUUGUUCUUCUAUUUUAGGCAUCCCCGUCUAUGUUUUUUUGUAUUAAUUGAAUUUAAAAGUUACAAACAGUGUGUGUCUACGGCUCUACGGCUCUACGCCUCUAGGGCAACUAAUGUUAUAAGUCCAUGUGGAAUUCGCCCGUUAUGUCAUAAAAAAUCGACCCAUCCGAUUUCACUUAAAUAAUUGCAGUUUGCUCCCUAAACUCUUUAAAUAUAAAUGGAUGAAUCUUGGGUAAAUUAUCUGUACAUAGAAACUCAAGAAACAAUUUCACAUUAUGUUAAACUGAUUAUAUUUUUCUGCUAAUACUGAAAUGUUAUAAUCAGUUUUUACUUAGUAUUGUGAUUCUAAACAGUACACUAAACUUCUGUUUAAUUACUUAGAGUUUAUGUCUUAUUUCCUUUAUCACCCACUUUGGAAAUUCUCUAAUGUGGUUGAAGUAUGAAGUGUAUAUAUAUACAACCCUCUUCCACUACGGACGUCUGUAGUGAAAGUGCACUGUGAACGGGGCUCGGAUUGACGAAAAGCGCGCUGAGUACCGCAUCAUUCAACAAGACAAGAGUACCGCGUCGCCGAACCUCAUUGCACUAAUCCACAUGACAAACCGUGCAAUAGGCGAAUUAUUGAGCAUUUCCAUCGAAGCAGUGCAUAGUACCAUGACAAACAAUGCAUAGUACCGCAUCGCAAGAAGGGACGACGACCGGAGCUACUAUGUCAGAUUCGCUGAACGUGAAAGGCGGAAACGUGUUCGGUUGUCGAAUGCCAAUCGGCACCUGACUGUUUCAUUCUCUGGAGAUUGUCUUGCUCGGGUGAUGGACCGCCACACCAGAGCAACUAGAGCUUGGAAUGACGAGAUUGUUGGUUCUCCGGCAUUUCUGUUCUCCAUAUUGACUGUUUCUUUGAGAUGAGCGACGAAUUCGGACGGGAAGUGGAAGAAUACUUCUUUCAGGUUGGGUGCUUUGGGUCUCAGGAUGUAUUCUUCCGGUUCAUUGUAAGGUAGUUUGAUCGGUAUCGAUGCACCGUCGACGAACCAACGGUCGUGAACCGGAGGGCGAGAAAUGGGAUCAACACCACGGUUGAUCUCAGCCCAAGAAUUGACGAAGUUCCAGAAAGCUAUACCGUCGCCAACGAUAUGGUUGAAGGAGAACCCGAGGAAGAUCCCGUCGGCAAGCUCCACGAUUUGAAUCUUGAGGAGAGGUAAAUGAUGACCGUCGUGGGAAACCUUCAAAUCCAUGCAAAAGAAUUCCUUAACGAAGGAAGGAGUGUAGAAAGGCUCGACGACAUCCGCAACCGAUAUACCGUCGGCAAGAGCACGGACGAAGUCCGCUCCUCCAGCAUUACAGUCGACAUAAGUGAAGAAACCAUUGGUUCCAUCUCGGGGUUUCUCCGUCACGAGACGGCCUGCGAGUGGGUAGAAAUGAAAGAGAGCUCGAGCCAGAGAUAUCUGGAGUUGGUCGACGAUGUCGUCGAUACGAGACGAUACAUCCGGCAUGGAGAAAAGAUGUCCUUUCUGAAUGUAUUGAACCGAGAGCAUAGCGAGGUCCCAUGAUGCUAAGUCGAUCCGUGGUGGAUGAUCCGGCGGUGGUCUGACCGUUGAAGUCGAGAUAAUUCGUACCGACGACGGCAUUCUUAGAACUAUCUAUUCGAUAUAUUUGAAGAAUGUUGGAAUGAUAAUGCGGAUUCUAUAAAUAACCAGGCAUUAAGUUUACCGGAGAUCGAUUAUGGCCCAUGACGAGUAAUAAAUAAUGACGUACGGUGAUAAAUAGUCGAAGUUAAACAUGGUCAGUCAAUAUCGAUCUUGUUCGUUAAAUCCGCCCCCAGAUUAAAACUAAUGAUCCGAGAUUAAUGACUCGAAAUCGACGUACAGGUGGGAUAAAUAUAAAGUUUGAUACGUUUUAAACUGAUGAGAUUGAUGGUCGAUCUUUAAUUUAGGGUUUAUAGCAAAAUCCUGUUUUUCUCGUACGUUAAUCUACAGUUAAAAUAAUUUACUAAUUGAUCCUUGGAUGAUGAUUAACAAAAAGACUUGAUUUUUUACUAAUUGUUAUUAGUGAACAAUAUAUAAAUAAUAUAUAUUUUGUAAUCCUCAGCAAAAACCCUUUUCAUGUCUAACGAAAUCUUAUCCUCGCGUAUAUAAAAAAAAAAUGCCGUUUAUAAAUAAUAAUAUUUUAGAAAUGUAUUUAUCUUAAGAGUCGUGUACGUUAUAUUUGCUUAAUAAAAUAAGAAAUGAAAUUUACAAACGUGGCAAAUGAUGAUAGAAAUUAAAAUGUAGACUCAAUGAGAGUUUCAAGUUUCAACAGUGGGUGGGGUCAAUAGUUAUUAUUAAUCGAGUUAGUUGUGUAGAUACAUAUUUUGAUGAGUGCCAAACUUAAAUUAGAUCACUAUGUACAAAUUUAAAAACCCAUGCAUGUGAUGUGAUGUGUCACGAAAUUUAUGAUCACAUGUGAUGUAUCACGUAUUUAAUUUCGAGAAGCCAUUAACAGGAUCGGAGUUCUAUUCAUCUAUAAAUAAAAGGGUAAGCAUCGAUCAUUUUAAUUAGGUACACACAGUGGAAAAUAUAAUUCAAUUCAAUACUAAUUUAUAAUUGUUAUCAAGUGUUUUUAUACAGCCAAAUUUAGUAACAAAGAAAAUCAAACGACUAAACCGCAAUAGAUGUUGGGUUGAAAUAUCAAUUAAUUGAGUGAGUUGUAAAAGUUAUUAAUUUCUUUUGUAUUAAAAUAAGUUGUAAUUAACAAUUUUAAUUCAAUUCAAUUCACGCUAAUUACACUCUUUCUCCCUCUCUCUCUUAACUGUCAUCCUUGAGACUGUCAAUAACUUCUGUCAUCUUCUCCGUCCACUGUCUACUGGCGGCGCGCCAUAACCGAACUGAAGUAAGAUUGCAGACUCCUUAAGAUUUAAUACAUCUUUCUUUCUGUUUUUCUUGGUUUAUUCAUUGUGAUAACAAUGAUCCACUCCAAAUUAACAUUAUAUAUACACAUAUCUUCUUGUGUGUGUUUUGAUGAUGUUUUUUUCAUCAGUGUCAAACUGGUCAAUCAUUACUAGUCGUCGCUUGUCAAUCAUCUGACUAAUUAUUAAUGCAGGAAUCAUAUUAGUCGAACGACCGGAUAUUCAGUCAUGCACACGUUACACUCAUCGAUCCUUUGCUCGAAAGAGGACGUCGUGAAUAAAAUGAUCAAUCCUCACUCAUAUUGUAUUGAUUUUCAGGAGGGUAAAAUUAUUAGUCUUUUCACCGCAUUGGGAGUGAUCCAACCUAAAUCCGGUCAAUCUCCUUUCAGUCACUCAUUCUGUGUAUGUAGAUCGAGAUCCGGUUAAGAUAAAUUAUUUAAGGUGAUUUGAAUAGAAGAAGAGUAUAAUUGAAGAUGAAGAAGAUAGGAAAAGGAGUUAACUAACUCAAGAAUUAAAAAAUGGAAGAAGAAGAAGCUAGGUAGAAGAUCGAAUAAAUUAGUUGCAAGAUGUGAUUAAACAAUAAAAAAGGAAUUAAGCAUAGUGGGACUUAAUUCACAUUUAUUAAUUUAAGCAUAAACUAUACAAUUCGACUUUUACAUGGGAGUUUAUUCUACUUGAAGUACUUGAGAAUUAUACUGAGGUCAAUAUAGAGGACCGAUCGGCGAUCACUGGGUGGAAUCGACUUAUUUUUCAGGCUGCAGUCCUUGUACAGGACUUGAUAUCACCAUAUUUGAAGCACUAAAAGAAAUAAGGUUUUUUUGUAGACCUAAACAUUUUUCAGCUUACGGGUCCAAAUCCUUUAAUAGGCCUAAAAGUAGUCCCAAACCUGAACCCAAACGUCCGGGUCUGAGCCAGAUCCGGGUUGGACCCGGACCCAUUUACACCCAGACCCAUUUACACCCCUGAUUGUGAGUAUAUAUUUGAUUUGUAAAUGAAAUUUUUAUUGAAAUGAAUUAUAAAUUGAAUGUAUUAUAAUUUUGUGAAUGAAUGUUUUAUGAAUAAAUGUUUGAUGUGAAAGGCUCCUAGAGAGCAACCAUUCAAUUUGUGAUAAAAUAUUUUUGUCGACAUAAAUAAUUAGCGACGGCUAAUUGAGACAGAAAGUAAUUAAAAAAUUAAUAGGGACGGCUAGUUGAGACAAAAACUCAGGAAGUUAUUAAAAAUCGUAAUAGAGACGGUUUAGGGACGGCUUAGAAACGGUUAGUUGAAACAGAAAAUAAUUAAAAAAAUGUAAUAGCUACAGACCUUAGGAACAAUUAGUUUAGACAGAAAGUAAUUAAAAAAUUAUUAGAGACGACUCAGGGACGGAAAUUUAAAAAUUUAGAGACGACUUAGGAACGACAAUGAAAAUUUGGCGCCAAAAUAUCGACUUAGAAAAAUAAUUAACGACGGAUUAGGGACGGCUUAAGUGCUUAACCCUAAACCAUAUCCAACCCCAACAUCUUUUUUGGAAUGGAUAUCAAGGCCGUCCCCAAAAAGUCAGUGAGACGAUUUUCAGAGAUGUCUUGGAGUCGGCCAUUUUUCGUCUCUAAUUAACAAUUAACAAUGACUUUACAUCGUGAAUGACGGAUUCUGACUGUCCCUAAAUAUCGUUUUUCUUGAAGUGUAAGUAUUAAUACAAUUUAUGAUUAAUAUGUGUAUAUACAAUGAACGUAGCAAAAGAUAUAAAACAUAUAUAAUAUCAAAUAUGUAACUAUUACAAAUCGAUUGAUUGAUAUGAUAAUAAAUAUGCAAUAUGUAUGUGGUAAUGAGAGUAUGACUCGUGGAAGAUCGAUUGAGACACCUCGAGACUCGUGGAAGAUCGAUGGUUGUGAACAUGUCUUGGGCUAAAAUCUUGCCCAAAUCAAAUGACCAAACACUAGAUAUAUGGACCAAGAUUGAGGAGAAGGUGUGUCAAACCACUUAAGUAUAGGAUGUGUCCAGUCGUUUCCCCCUCAGUCGGUCAAACGACUCACUGAUCGACUGAAAUACUAGUCAGUCUCUCACAGUCAGUCAGUCAGUCAGUCAGUCAGUCAGUCAGUUCGUGACUGAUCUCACAACAGUGUGGAAAGAUUCAUUUGCCCCCCCGCCAUAGUUUAUAAAUAAUGAAAGGAUUUCAUCAUUUAUGGAUUGUAUAGGGUGAGUGCAACAGUUGGAAGAAUAUGAAAGGUCGUGUGUAUGGGUAUUAAACUAUUAACGAUGAUGAGGCGGCGAGUUAAAAUUCGUGUUGGACUUAUAUUCUUACCCGUUUCUUUUUUGUCCGGGGUCAGGACGACCAGAUCUGUAGGAUACCGAGGUGGAUACGGGUCAGACCAGGGGCCAAACCCUGAAGCCCACCCUUGAUCUUAAGUCUUAUUAAAUAGUUUUGAAGAAGACAACUUAAACUUGGAUAUCAACUAUCAAGUUUUAAAUGAAUAUUUUCAAAUUGACUUCUAUCUUUUAAAAAGGAUCUGACUGUAAUGAGUGAAGUUAACAAGGUGCAAAUAGUAAGAAAAUAUAGAAAUUAGCGACAAGUAUUUAAGUAGGUUAAGUAUUACAGAUACUAUUUACAAAUUUACCAUCGUUCGGCGCUUGAUGAUUAAUUACCGGAAUUUAUUUUUAAUUACAGUCAUGAACUCACGAUCCAACAGAAGUCUGUCCAUGUUCUCCGGUGACAGACAGAUCUCAAACUCCACACUCCCAUCACCUUCCCUUCCCGGAAAAGCAGACACCUUGCCGUCGAACUUAAUGGCGUUCCCACUGCGAAUCGCCACCGCCUUCCCCCACCCAAAGUCGCACCCGUACAUGUCAUAUCUCGGCGAGCUUCCUAUAUGAAUGCUUUGGGCGUCGAACAUAGCAAGUGUAUAUAUACUAGGUUCAUCCAUCCACUUGUCCACCUUGGCUCGGAUUUCAACAUCAGUAUAUGAUCUUACUAUUCGAUUUAGCAUCGCCCCAGCCCAACCGAUGCCGUGCGAGAGCAACUCUCCGGCGGUGGUGGUGGCGUAGAGGGCGUAAAUCGUAUUACCGAAAUAGUUUGGCGAGAGAGGUGGUCUGAAACGUGUACGGUUAUCAAAUGCCAAUCGGCACCCCACUGUUUCAUUCUCUGGGAAUUCUCUUGCUCGGGUGAUGGACCGCCACACUAGAGCAGCUAGUGUUUGGAAUGAUGAGAUUGUUGGUUCUCCGGUUUGUCUGUUCUCGUCGUUAGCUUUUUCUCUGAGACGAGUGAUGGAUUCGGACGGGAAGUGAAAGAAUAUUUCUCUCAGAUUGGGUGCUUUGGGUCUCAGUAUGUAUUCUUCCGGUUCAUUGUAAGGUAGCUUGAUCGGAAUCGAUGUGCCGUCGACGAACCAACGAUUGUGAACCGGAGGGCGAGAAAUGGGAUCAACACCACGGUUUAUUUCAGCCCAUGUCGUGACGAAGUUCCAGAAAGAUGUACCAUCACCGACGAUAUGGUUGAAGGAGAACCCGAGGAAGAACCCGUCGACAAGUUCCGUGAGUUGAAUCGCGAGGAGAGGAACAUUAUGACCAUCGUAGCAAAUCGCCAAAUCCAAGCAAAAGAACUCCUUAACGAACGAGGGAGUGUAGAAAGGUUCGACGACAUCUGCAACCGAUAUACCGUCGGCAACGGAUCGAACGAAGUCCGCUCCUCCUGCAUUACAGUUGAUGUAAGUGAACAGACCCUUGGUUCCAUCUGGAGACCUCUCCGUCACGAGACGACCUGCGAGUGGAUAGAAAUAAAGAAGAGCUCGUGCCAAAGAGUUCUGGAGGUGGUCGAUGACGUCGUCGAGACGGCAUGAUACGUCCGGCAUGGAGAAGAGAUGCCCUUUCUGAAUGUAAUGAGUGGAAAGCAUAGCAAGAUCCCAUGACGCAAGGUCGAUUCGUGGUGGAUGAUCCGGCGGUGGCCUCACCGUGCAAGUCGAGAUUCUUCGAACUGACGACGACAUUCUUAGGACAAUCUAUCUAUAUUCGAUAUCGUUAAAGAAUGUAGGCGCGUACUAUAAAUAAGUCAACGCAUCACAGGAUAAGGACAUAUAGUUGAUAUGACACUAAUACAUGGUUUGAAUAACAAAGUUUGUCUAUCUUUAUUUUUAGUGAAUUUUCAAUAUUUCUCAAUAGUUCUUUGUACUAAUGAAUGAAUGAAUACGUUAUUGGCGUCUUUAAUUUAUACUAAAUUAUUUUACGUUGUACAUGUGUUAAUGUUUUCUGCAGUAUAUUAUUUUAGUUAUUGAAAUAAAUAUUAAUGGACAGUUGGACACAAUUUUAUAACACACGAUAGAACAUUUAACAUACGGUACACCUAAACGCGCGUGUUAUUUUCAGGUGUGCCAUGACGUACAUGCACCGAAAUUUUUUCAGCCUUUAGAUUCUAAUCCGUCGACUGAUAAUGCAUUAUUUAUCAACAACUAAACUUUGUACAACGAGUUGUACGUCGUAUGUUACAUUAUCCUAUAAUUGUACUCGUUACUUGUAUUACGUUAUAUUAACGUCUUUGACGCAUGUGCGCCAUGGCGUAUAUUUUUAUUAUAUUUUAAAUACGAUAUAACUUAUAAGCUUGUUUUAAUAAAUAAUCAAAUUUAAUCCAAACAUAUAAAUUUUAAAUACAAAACCCUAAUAAUUUACUAGUAUUGAACUAUUGAGCAAGUUAGGGUGGAAAAAGAAACAAUGGAAUGUAUUAAGAGAGCGGACAAAAUUAAAUUUGUAUACUUGAUUAUUUUAAAGUUUUGUACAUGGUCAGUAUUUAUACACCCUCAGAUUAACUAAUUGUUCUAUAAUUAACUACUUGUACAAACUUCUAGAAUCUAUAUUAGUUAUUUAGAAUUUGUUAUUCUACUCAUAAAAUGCACAAGUCCUUUAAACGCAUAGCCAACAUAUCUAUGGCAGACCGACGAACUCUGAUGUGUAUACUUUCGAUCUUAUGGUUGUCCAUGGUGAGCGCAUAACCAUUAAGAGACGAGUCAUGUACAUGGGAAGAUAUUCGAGCUAGUAAUACGAGCAAUAUUUGAAAGCAAAGAAUGGUUAAUGUUCGACGAAAUUCAGUCCGAGAGAUCGAGAAAAGGACAUGACACUUUCAACAGAGCAAGGGAGGAUGAAUUUGAAGUAGUUAUAAAGGGAUUCAAGGGACUCGAAGCAAUUAGAUGCUCCUUCACUUCGACUAAUGGGGUAGGAGCACAACACACCCUCUCGGAACUUGAUGGUGCUACAGAUAAAAUCGGUUGGAUCACACGUUGAACACAAAUGAGUCGACUGCACCUCAUAUUGGGAACCACCAACGACCAUAUAGGCAUCCAUCUUGAACUAGUACAUGUGCAGAAAGGCCCAAAGUUAUUUAGGUUCUAAAACUUGUGAAGAUGACCAAAUUACAAUUUGAUCCGACAAAUCUAGAACUUCAUAACAACUGCAAAACUCUCCAAGAAAAAUUGGGUGUACUCUAGCACCAUGAGCUACAAGAUGCCAGGAAGAGGGCUCACAUCAAUUGGAUCACAGAGGGCGAUCAGUGUACACGAUUCUUCACUCGAGCAACUGAAUCAAGGCAUGUUCAGAAUUCGAUCAUGCGCGCACUAGACUCUGACGUGAAUCAAAUACACUCUCUGAUAGAAAUGAAGGAGAGAACAUUCAUCGUCUUUUUCAUGUCAGAAGAUAGGGCUUAGCCAAUACCAAACCUAAACUUGUUCAUUUUAAUUAUAUUUUUUCUUCUCGUAUCGGAACUUUUUGAAAUUGAAAGUUUCAAGUUUCAUUAAUUUAUUAUCGUCCUCCUGAUCUCGUCUAUCUCAAUGUACAAUUGAACUCUUUAGAAGAGUUGAGUGAAAGUCUUGGCCUUUUGAACCUUCAUAUUCUCAGUCAAUGGAAAGUAUAGGUGUUAAACCCUUGAAUCCUUGAUGUACCCACCGAUCGAUGUUUGUGCUUAGGAUUAACUUGUUCACUUUUGUCAUCAUGGAAAUGAACUUCAUUUGUGUAAUCCCGAAGGGAGGUGUCCCCUUGUCGUACAUAGGGCCAACAGAGAGUUAGCGUUAUGCUUGAUUUGAAUCAUCCUCACGUGUUGGGUGAUAAAUUUCAGAGAAUGUUCUGUGAAGCUGGUGGUUGAUCCAACUGACAGACUGAAAAUUAAAACCACCGAUACGGGUUACCUUUGGAAGUACCGGGGAAUGUCUGGUACAACUUAACCCGUUAUCGAUGGUUUGUUGUUUUAAGAUAUUCAAGCAAAGGUUAAAAUGAUCCUCAAGAUUUGUUGUCUCAUUGUACGAGUCUAUCUUUAAAGACCGUCAGAAUCACGGAAAAGGUAUCUUCAGAAGGUCCAUAUGAAAGGGUGUCGUCUUUUUUGCCAUGAGGAAUUGGUCUGAGCUGCCUAUGACGUGUUCAUCGGCUAGCUUAUGAUGAAUAUCUUCUGCUAUUCGAGUUGCCAAGAUCGUAUCGUACUUAGUGUUACGAGACUUGGUCAACCUCGAUUCAGAUCGAUGAUGUGAACUUAAUUAACUUAGUUUUCCCCAUAGAGGGGGAAUGAUGUGAGUUAGAAUAUUUGUUUGUCACAUUUCUCAUAAUCGUCCUGCUUCUAAAAGUCUUCAGAUGAUUUAUCUCUUUUCCAAACUCUAGCAUGAGAACUUUCAUUUGCGAAAAUUGUUCCUGCAUUGUGGGAGUGGCAGGCCGGAGCAUGCACUUUGGCGUCUUGUAUCAUCUUAGAGUUGCUAAAAUCAUAAUUUCUAUUCUUCGGAAGUACAUGUGUAUGGUACUAUACCACCAAUGUCCGCUUACCAAAGUCUAGGGUUUCAGAGAAAAUAACAUAUUUACUAUGUUUUCUUUUUUACAUUUUGAAAUCAAUAAAUUUGCAACUAGUUUCAAAUUCAAAAAUAAAAAUUAGUAAUUUCUGUAAAUUUUAUACUUUUUAACAUUGUAAACAUUUUUAAUUUUAGGCAAAGGUAACUUGUCAACUUUUUUUUUUUAACUAAAGACAAUUAAGUGGAUCCGUUGAACAUGGCAGAAUGCAGAUGACUCAAGAUCCAACGUAUAUAUUUAUUUUAUUAAUUUAUGUAAUAUGUAAUUUUCCAAAAACAAUUGUUAGAAUAAAUUAAUAGGGUCUCGGGUGAGAUUCUCAGUACCUGCCCGUCCGGUAGGGGAGGCUUUUUUCUACCCGAAGUAGGAAAAUCCCCAUCCCCGACCGAAAUCCCCGGCCAUUUCCGGGUACGGGAUGGGGAUUGAAAUCCACGCCCCAGACAAUACCCUACCCAGGUAAAUUGCAUUUAAACCUUAAAUAAUAUUUGAUAUAAAUAACCCUAUAUAACAUAUUAAACACAUAAGUUUAUAUUUAAAAUAUAUUUAUAAAAAAUUAUAUUUAACUUCCCAUAAGUUUAUAUUUAAAAUAUAUAUAUAAAAAAUUAUAUUUAACCCUCUACGUUUAAAUUUUGAAUAUUUUUUAAAAUUUUAAUUUUAAACCCCAAAUGUGAAAUAUCAAAUCCCUAAAUUUAUUUGUUUUCUUAAAUCAUAAAUCACAUCUUCACUAAAACGAUUUUAUUUAAGUAUCUUAAUUACAUUAGUAACGUUAUUGUUUAUAAUAAAAAUUGAAAUUAAACAAAGUAUCUGUCCCUUUUCCCUUUACCUGGCAUUGGUCAGGUACGAGGAUGAUUUUUGAGUACGCAAUCUAAGCCCCAUCCCCAUACCAGAUCAUCCCUAAUAUCCUGUAUUCAUCCCUUUGGUAAGUAAAUGAGUGAGUUAAUCAAACCAAGGCAGCUCAGUCAAUUAAUAUUUGGAGAUGUAGGAUGGUCAAACCAAGUUGGGUAUUCGAUUAGUCAAACCAACCAAGUGGUACUCUCAGUUAAAAAUAACAACAACAAAAAGAAGCUCGUUACGUAUUACAAAUACUAUUUAUUUAUUUACCAUCACUCGGCCCAUGAACUACCGGAAUUGUUAGGUUUUAAUCAGAGCCAUGAACUCACGAUCCAAUAAAAGUCUGUCCAUGUUCUCUGGUGACAGACAAAUCUCAAACUCCACACUCCCAUCACCUUCCCUUCCCGGAAAAGCAGACACUUUGCCGUCAAACUUAUUGGCGUUCCCACUGCGAAUCGCCACCGCCUUCCCCCACCCGAAAUCGCACCCGUACAUGUCAUAUCUCGGCGAGCUUCCUAUAUGGAUGCUUUGGGCGUCGAACAUAGCAAGUGUAUAUAUGCUAGGUGCAUCCAUCCACUUGUCCACCUUGCCUCGGAUUUCAACGUCGGUAUAUGAUCUUACUAUUCGAUUUAGCAUCGCCCCAGCCCAACCGAUGCCGUGUGAUAGCAGUUCGCCGACGGUGGUGGCGGCGUAGACGGCGUAAACUGUAUUGCCGAAGUAGUCUGGCGAGAGAGGUGGCCGGAAACGUGAUCGGUUAUCGAAUGCCAAUCGACACCCUACUGUUUCAUUCUCUGGGAAUUUUCUGGCUCGGGUGAUGGACCGCCACAUCAGAGAAGCUAGUGCUUGGAAUGAUGAGAUUGUUGGUUCUCCGGCUUUUCUGUUCUCGUCGUUGGCUCUUUCUCUGAGAUGAGCGAUGGAUUCGAACGGGAAAAGGAAGAAUACUUCUUUCAGGUUAGGUGCUUUGGGUCUCAGGAUAUAUUCUUCCGGUUCAUUGUAAGGUAGUUUGAUCGGAAUCGAUGUGCCGUCGACGAACCAACGAUCGAGAACCGGUGGGCGUGAAAUGGGAUCAACACCACGGUUUAUUUCAGCCCAUGCUGUGACGAAGUUCCAGAAGGCUGUACCAUCGCCGACGACAUGGUUUAAGGAG